AUGUAAUGUAAUGCCUACAAUGUUAAUGCACCAUAUCCCAUUAAAACUCCAUAGUUAAGUGUGUUUGGGCUAGAUUAGUAUUGGGAUGGGUGAACUCGAGGGAAAUCCUAGUGUUUUACAUG
rnacentral:rRNA from 1 species